rnacentral:rRNA from 1 species
UACGAAGGGGGCUAGCGUUGCUCGGAAUCACUGGGCGUAAAGCGCACGUAGGCGGAUUGUUAAGUCAGGGGUGAAAUCCUGGAGCUCAACUCCAGAACUGCCUUUGAUACUGGCGAUCUCGAGUCCGGGAGAGGUGAGUGGAACUGCGAGUGUAGAGGUGAAAUUCGUAGAUAUUCGCAAGAACACCAGUGGCGAAGGCGGCUCACUGGCCCGGUACUGACGCUGAGGUGCGAAAGCGUGGAGAGC